AAAAUGAAAAAUGUGAAUCAGAGCAAUAUUCCACUUUUAUAAGCUAAUGAAAACUUAACAUGUAAGGGAUGAGUGUCUUGACACUGACCACAGUAAGUCUAACAAUCUAACCUUGUGACUGACCCGGAUUGUACUUUGUGUGCAAUAGUAGUUUUCUGCCUGAUUCAAAUA